rnacentral:rRNA from 1 species
UACGUAGGGGGCAAGCGUUGUCCGGAUUUACUGGGCGUAAAGAGCGUGUAGGCGGCCAAACAGGCCCGUUGUGAAAACUGGAGGCUCAACUUCCAGACGUCGACGGAAAACCGUGUGGCUAGAGUCCGGAAGAGGAGAGUGGAAUUCCUGGUGUAGCGGUGAAAUGCGCAGAUAUCAGGAAGAACACCAAUGGCGAAGGCAGCUCUCUGGGACGGUACUGACGCUGAGACGCGAAAGCGUGGGGAGCAAACAGG